GCAGUGAAGUAGCUGUCUGUAUUGCUUGCUAGCUGCGGUAAGGGACAAAGAGGAUGCUGAUGUGUAUAGCUUGAGAUGUCGAUGGAGUGCAUGACUCAGGUUCUAGAGAUCUCACCCCUGCUGCAAAUAACCAGCUAAAUGGUCAGGCAAGUGAAGGGGGGUUCUGAACCUUGGAUCAGGUUGGAAAGGAAGAAAAGAUCUUGUCACCUUGCUGUACCUCACUGGUGUGCUCGAGUGGGAUAAAGGAGAAGUGAGUAACUGAAGUCUGGAGUCCCCGUUUUCUGCAGAAAUAUCAAGGUUUGAUAUUUGGCUUGUGACCCUGAUCAAGUUCAGUGUUUUAUAUGUGUCUUUGAACCUGGGAGGAGUGCAUGAGAGCCACGUACUUGAACCUAGGUUGUGCUGGCACACUAGGAGUUCUUCCCCACUAAGUUGUGUACAAGUACAGAGAGCACCUUAGGGAUGGUUCCAAUAAAAUUAUCCUCCAACAAUCCUCAAGCUCCAACCAGGGUACAGCGUGUGUGAGUGGUAGAACUUCUGUCCACACCGGUGUUCACCUGUCCCCAGUCCCCAAACUUGGUCUGUCCAGAAGCUGAGCGCGCCAACACCUGGUCUAGUGACCACACUCGCCAGUUCUUCACCUCGCCGUGGCCAGGUAGUUCCGGUGUUUGGAACAGAGCUGUGCCGCCGCAGACUGGCGCCGAGGACAGCCCCACCGUCGACCCGUCUAAUUGCGUCGUCCCCGGAUGAAUUCUUGCGAGCACGGACGCCUUGAGCUCCCAAUAGAAAGAUGAAGGUUCAAGAUGAAGUGGUUGCUGAAGAGGAGUCUACUCUAGUGUCUACUGAUCAAGUGGAGGAACCAUCUAACUGGGUAUUUUAUAGGAGGAUUUAGCACAUCUUCUCUUCAACAAAGACAAGACCCGAUGUAUUUGCCCCUUCCUUGUAUUGUUAAAAGACUUUUAUACACUUUAAGUCUAGUGAAAUAUGCAUUAAGUUUAUAGGGGUUGCUUGGAAACUAUUUGAUGCAUUUACUACCUUGAUAUCCAUUCCUUUUAUAG